AACAGGAUUAGAUACCCUGGUAGUCCACGCCGUAAACUAUGGAUGCUAGCUGUUAGAGGUAUCGACCCCUCUAGUAGCGAAGCUAACGCGUUAAGCAUCCCGCCUGUGGAGUACGGUCGCAAGACUAAAACAUAAAGGAAUUGACGGGGACCCGCACAAGCGGUGGAGCGUGUUGUUUAAUUCGAUGGUAAGCGAAGAACCUUACCCAGGCUUGACAUCCUUGGAAUUUCUCCGAAAGGAGAGAGUGCUUUAUUGAGCCAAGUGACAGGUGAUGCAUGGCCGUCGUCAGCUCGUGUCGUGAGAUGUUUGGUUAAGUCCAUCAACGAGCGCAGCCCUUGUGAUUAGUUGAAUUUUUCUAAUCAGACUGCCCUGGUAACAGGGAGGAAGGGGGGGAUGAUGUCAGGUCAGUAUUUCCCUUACGUCUGGGGCUACAAACACGCUACAAUGGCCGGUACAAAGGGCUGCCAAGUCGCGAGACGGAGCAAAUCCCAUCAAAGCCGGUCUCAGUUCGGAUAGCAGGCUGAAACUCGCCUGCUUGAAGCUGGAAUCGCUAGUAACGGUAGGUCAGCACACUACCGUGAAUACGUUCCCGGGUCUUGUACACACCGCCCGUCAAACCAUGAAAGUCGCCAAUACCUGACGUGUUGCCUUCGUGCAGCCCUAAGGUAGGGGAGAUGAUUGGGGUUAAGUCGUAACAAGGUAACC
rnacentral:rRNA from 1 species